rnacentral:rRNA from 1 species
UACGAAGGGGGCUAGCGUUGUUCGGAUUUACUGGGCGUAAAGCGCACGUAGGCGGAUCUUUAAGUCAGAGGUGAAAUCCCAAGGCUCAACCUUGGAACUGCCUUUGAUACUGGGGAUCUUGAGUCCGGGAGAGGUGAGUGGAACUGCGAGUGUAGAGGUGAAAUUCGUAGAUAUCAGGAAGAACACCUAUGGCGAAGGCAGCUCUCUGGGACGGUACUGACGCUGAGGCGCGAAAGCUAGGGGAGCAAACGGGG